GAAAAAACAACAAAAAUUCUCCCUUGUACAUAUGAUUUGCAGCAACUGAUUGCAAUCAAAGGACUUUUUGGACUUCUUUUUUUCGACAUCCAUUUAAACAAAACACUAACUAACAAACGAACUAUUGAUUAAAAUGAGUUAAAAAUGAAUUUGAUGUAUUUUGAGCAAUUUGUGUACGAAUUGUUGUGUAAUGGAGAGUUGCGUGACUCGUUUGGUUUUGUCUACGUUCGCAGCUUUUGUUUAUCCCGUCGUGCUUGCCGUUCACCGUGCCGUUAUGCUUGCCGUUUACCGUCCGUUUGCCGUGAAUUGCGUUCGUCGUCAUCUUUGCGUUGUGUUUCUUCCGAGGUUUGGCUUGAUUGAUUCAAGUCGUGGAGUUGAAGUUUGAUUAUGGACUUGGACUUGGUGUUUAUUUAUACCUUCCAUUAAAGGUGCACUAUUUCCUUUACGUUGUUUUCGGAGCGAGGGACGGUGUUUGCUGGACAUUUUAGGAUCUUGAAAUGGACUAUUUUUCAAAUGGACAAUAAAAAGAUCUUAAGAUAAAUACGAAAAUUAUAAAAGUAAUUAAAGGAAUAGAAUAUUAUACUAGAAAUUAAGUUGGGGAAUACGAAGUUUUAUGAAAGCAAACACUAGAAGAUGGGAGACAGGCUGGCUAUGCAUUGGAGUGUGUGGCCCAUAUUGGACACAACUGGUUCUUACAAUGCACUUUUCUAAAACUGGUGUGAGGAAUAAUAAAUGGGAAAGGGAAAAUGAUUGAGCGGCCAGAAAAAGAAAUGAUUGAGCGUGAGGUGGAAAAGUUUUAGAAGAAUCAGAAGAUUAUGAAAAUUUACACAAAAAGGUUGCACAAGAUGUUUGCAAAUUUUUUUGCUUUUAUAGUCUACACUCUGCACAGAAAUUGAUACCCCCUUUCAUACAAAGGUUCAGUAAGAUCUUGUUGAGCUACCCUAGUUGAAAUAUCCGUUUCACAAUGAAUGUAUAUAUUUUAGGGUGAAAUAAAAAAUUUAAAGUGUUUUUGUAAAUUUAAAAAGUUAUUUCUUAAAAAUUGAACUUCUUUUUUAAACGAAGGGAGUAGUAAACUUGAACUAGCCUUUUGCUGUGCAUUUUUGCACGACUAAUUAAUUCGAUCUUUCUGAGAAGCUAAACAUAAUAUGAGAAGCUAAACAUAAUAUUGUGCAUAGUUUGGUCGUGAAACAAUCUCAUCUCUUCAUUGUACAUUAAUUUAUCUCUAAAUAAAAAUUUAUCUUACAUUAGACACAAUUUGAUAGCAGUAAAUUUGUUACAGAUUAGAUCAUAUGUUAAAAACCGGUGUAUUACUCCAGUAAAUAGUAACCAUGAAUAGAUAGGGGGCGUUACAUAUUUCCAAUUUUAACAAUACCACUCUUUGUAACACGAAAAUUCCUAUUUCUCUAUGUUUUAAGCAUUUGUCUA